AGUGACUUUAAGUCAUAUUUGCACCGUGUUACAAGAAACUUUCAUGCAAAAUAUCUGUCCUGCACAUGGUGAGCCAUUUAGGGUUCAGUGUCCUACUAAUGGACACUUUGUGACAUUUCUUGGGACAAUGAACAACCUACUGUACCAACUGAGUUGGGGUUGUCCCAGUAAAUGAUAUGAUCUUAAGAUGAAGACCUUUUAAUCUGAUGAAUGAUGUUGGAAUUACUGUCAGUUUUGUAUGUAGUUCAUGAGUCCAUGUAGUUUGUGAGUUCAUGGGAAAGUGGGUGUAAACUUUUGACUGGUAGUUUAGGUUGGUCUUUAUUAUCCAAAUGCUGUGAACAAGCCCAACCUAAACAUUUACAUUUUAGGAAA